rnacentral:lncRNA from 1 species
AUAUAUAUAUAUAUAUAUAUAUUGUAAUUCCAUGGGGCCAAGUAAAAUUGAGGUUUAAUUUCCCACGUGUUUUCAAAGUUUCACAAAUUGUGAAAGUUUGAAAAGACAAUUGAAAUUACACCUUACUUUAACGAGAAACUAUGCGAUUACUUGUUAAUCAUACUGGGCCGUGUGCAUGUAUAAAAUUAAUUACUCUCAAUUUCCGGCAAGGCAUAUUUUAACUAUAAAACUACUGGGGCAUUUAUUUUAUAAGUAAACGCAUGCUUUGAGGCGUUACUAAACCACAGAAUAAAGAUCAGUAACAGAAGGACCACUCAGCGGUGCAACGUGUCCGCGUUUUUUAUGAAAAAAUAUGCAGUUUACUGGCCAGAAGUCGAAGCAGCCAGCCAGUACAGCACUUACAGCGUGUUUAUUGGCCAGAAAAUGUCAUUGACUGGCUAAGAAAAUGGCGGCCAACAUUCGUAAUGCGACAUGCGCGAGGACAGAAACUUCAAAGCUUCCGACCUAAGUGGCCCUUCUAUAUGGAUCUUUNNNNNNNNNNNNNNNNNNNNUAUUACGCAUAUUACAAUUUACGAAGCAUUUUUAAAUUCCCAUGAGCAAACAAACGUUCACUUUACAAAGAUAUUUUAAUUUCUUAAAACAAAUUAAUCACCCUGUCAAAAUCCUUUGUGUUACGGCAUUGAAAUUCGAACAAUACGUUAUUUCAAUGAUUUUGGGUUUUUUUGAGACACCCUGUAGAGCGU